rnacentral:lncRNA from 1 species
AGCUGAAGUCCAAUCAACUUGAAACUUAGUAAACUUGUUGCUUAUGAUAUGAUCGUUUUAAUUUUAAAGCCAAAUUAGACUUUUGACCCCAAUUUCACGGUCCACUAAACAUAGAAAAUGAAAGUGGGAGUUUCAGGUUAAAGUUUUUGGUCAAGGUAGUUUUUGAUAAAAUUGAAGUCCAAUCAACUUGAACCUUAGUACAUAUGUUCCCUAUAGUAUAAUCUUUCUAAUUCUAAUGCCAAAUUAGAUUAAUACCCAAUUUCACGGUCCAUGGAACAUGGUAAAGCAUAGUGCGAGUGGGGCAU